CCCCACGGAGGCAGAGGGGCCAGCAUGCGGGAAGAUGACUGAUGACCGAUGGGGAAGCUUCUGCAGUUUCUUCCUUUUUUCUAUUUCUAAAUCCACAGGUUCUCUAACAGCCUCAAGCAUCGUUUCUUUCUAGAGGAGGGAAGUUACACCCACAGCGACAUUAUUCAUAGAAGCCAAGAAGUGGACACAACCUCAAUGCUCAUCAACUGAUGAUGAAUGAAUAAAUACAAUGUGGAAUACCUCCGAAACGGAAUACUGGCAAUAAAAAGGAUGACAUACUGAUGCAUGCUACAGCGUGGAUGAACCUCAAAACAUCAUGCAAAGUGAAAGAAGUCAGACACAAAAGAUCAUAGAGCGAACGUGGCUAGAAAUGUGACAUGGGACUUCUGGAAAGGAGUUAGAGUUGUCUCAGCUGGGAGUUGGACCUUUUAUAUGUCUGCCCUACCUUCGUUCUGCUGGCUGGAAUGCAUACGUGAUGGCUGGAAGUCCAGCAGUCAUCUUGGACGGUGAGCCAUCCUUGAGAAGGAAAGCCACGCACCAGGAAGCAGUGCAGAAAGACUGAAGGGGCCACUUACCCUAAUGACCUCGGAGCCAGGAAACAACCCUGGACUUCCUACCUCCACACUUCUUUCAUGUGAAAAAGAAAAACACGUCCAUCUUGCUUACAGUCACUAUUAUUUUGGGUUUUGUUAGUAGCAGCUACAUAUAAUCCCUAACUGUUUAAAAGUCGUCUACAUUGUAAGAAUCAAGAAUUAGGUAAUAUUAGUAAUAUUAUCCCAUCAGCCAGAACAAAUCUACUCCAGGAAGCUGAGUUGAGAGGUGCUAAUGUAAACAAGAAAGAUGCCUAGUCAUUUUUAGGUAUCAUAUUAGAUUACUUCUCUGCACAUACCUAUUACAGUUAGAUGAUCUUUAAGAUCUUUUCCAACAAAAUUUAUCUGGUUUGAUGCUUUUGUCAUUUGAUUAUGUAAUAUUUCAAAAUUUAAAUGAUGAAUAACAAGAAAUUUGUGACACCAUUCUUACCUUUUUA